rnacentral:rRNA from 1 species
UACGGGGGGAGCAAGCGUUGUUCGGAUUUAUUGGGCGUAAAGGGCGCGUAGGCGGUCUUGUAAGUCAGCUGUGAAAGCCCGGGGCUCAACCCCGGAGGGUCGGCUGAUACUGCAGGACUGGAGUACGGAAGAGGUAGCUGGAAUUCCCGGUGCAGCGGUGAAAUGCGUAGAUAUCGGGAGGAACACCUGAGGCGAAGGCGGGCUACUGGGCCGAUACUGACGCUGAGGCGCGAAAGCCAGGGGAGCAAACGGG